GUCGAGCGGUAAGGCCUCUUCGGAGGUACACGAGCGGCGGACGGCUGAGUAACACGUAGGAACGUACCCCGAAGUGAGGGAUAACUGCUCGAAAGAGUAGCUAAUACCGCAUGUGAUCUAAGGAUUAAAGCUUCGGCGCUUCGGGAACGGCCUGCGCAUGAUUAGCUUGUUGGUGAGGUAAUAGCUCACCAAGGCGACGAUCAUUAGCUGGUCUGAGAGGAUGAUCAGCCAGACUGGGACUGAGACACGGCCCAGACUCCUACGGGAGGCAGCAGUAGGGAAUUUUCCACAAUGGGCGAAAGCCUGAUGGAGCAACGCCGCGUGCAGGAUGAAUGCCUUAGGGUUGUAAACUGCUUUUAUAUGUGACGAAUAUGACGGUAGCAUAUGAAUAAGGAUCGGCUAACUCCGUGCCAGCAGCCGCGGUCAUACGGAGGAUCCAAGCGUUAUCCGGAAUUACUGGGAGUAAAGAGUUGCGUAGGUGGCAUAGUAAGCGAGUAGUGAAAGCGUGUGGCUCAACCAUACUCACAUUAUUCGAACUGCUAAGCUAGAGGAUGAGAGAGGUUAUUGGAAUUCCCAGUGUAGGAGUGAAAUCCGCAGAUAUUGGGAGGAACACCGAUGGCGUAGGCAGAUAACUGGCUCAUUCCUGACACUAAGGCACGAAAGCGUGGGGAGCAAACGGGAUUAGAUACCCCGGUAGUCCACGCCGUAAACGAUGGAUGCUAGCUGUAUGAGGUAUCGACCCCUCAUGUAGCGAAGCUAACGCGUUAAGCAUCCCGCCUGUGGAGUACGGUCGCAAGACUAAAACAUAAAGGAAUUGACGGGGACCCGCACAAGCGGUGGAGC
rnacentral:rRNA from 1 species